rnacentral:rRNA from 1 species
AACGCUAGCUACAGGCUUAACACAUGCAAGUCGAGGGGCAACAUGAUUUUAGCUUGCUAAGAUUGAUGGCGACCGGCGCACGGGUGAGUAACGCGUAUGUAACUUGCCUACCAGAGGGGGAUAGCCCGGCGAAAGUCGGAUUAAUACCGCAUAAAACAGGGGUUCCGCAUGGAAAUAUUUGUUAAAGGAUUACCGCUGGUAGAUAGGCAUGCGUUCCAUUAGAUAGUUGGUGAGGUAACGGCUCACCAAGUCGACGAUGGAUAGGGGUUCUGAGAGGAAGGUCCCCCACAUUGGUACUGAGACACGGACCAAACUCCUACGGGAGGCAGCAGUGAGGAAUAUUGGUCAAUGGGCGAGAGCCUGAACCAGCCAAGUCGCGUGAAGGAUGAAGGAUCUAUGGUUUGUAAACUUCUUUUAUACGGGAAUAAAGUGUGGUACGUGUACCAUUUUGUAUGUACCGUAUGAAUAAGCAUCGGCUAACUCCGUGCCAGCAGCCGCGGUAAUACGGAGGAUGCGAGCGUUAUCCGGAUUUAUUGGGUUUAAAGGGUGCGUAGGUGGCUUUUUAAGUCAGUGGUGAAAGUUUGUGGCUCAACCAUAAAAUUGCCAUUGAAACUGGAGAGCUUGAGUGUGUUUGAGGUAGGCGGAAUGCGUGGUGUAGCGGUGAAAUGCAUAGAUAUCACGCAGAACUCCGAUUGCGAAGGCAGCUUACUAAGCCAUAACUGACACUGAAGCACGAAAGCGUGGGGAUCAAACAGGAUUAGAUACCCUGGUAGUCCACGCAGUAAACGAUGAUUACUAGGAGUUUGCGAUAGACAGUAAGCUCUACAGCGAAAGCGUUAAGUAAUCCACCUGGGGAGUACGCCGGCAACGGUGAAACUCAAAGGAAUUGACGGGGGCCCGCACAAGCGGAGGAACAUGUGGUUUAAUUCGAUGAUACGCGAGGAACCUUACCCGGGUUUGAACGUAGUUUGACAGGGGUGGAAACACCUUUUCUAGCAAUAGCAAAUUACGAGGUGCUGCAUGGUUGUCGUCAGCUCGUGCCGUGAGGUGUCGGCUUAAGUGC